rnacentral:lncRNA from 1 species
UAAGUGUGAUUUUAAUCAUCUAUGAUUAUGUUCUUGAUUCUAUCCUUUGAAGAUUGUCUAAUGCUAUAUCUCUCAAAUAUUUACGUUUCAUUGCAGAUUUGAAGGAGUUAUCCUAGUUGUUUAGAGCAGACUUUGGAGAAGGAUGCUGCAGGGGUUUUAAUAUCUUUCUACCUCUCAUUUAAUCUAUGUGCAUUCUGAGCUGAGGCCAUCCAGUUUAUCUCAUUCUCAUUUACGGACCCCAGGCAUGCAAUGCAUGUUGAUCAAUGUGAUUUGACCUCCACAAAACAUUGGCAUUUAUUUGAUCGAAGUCUUUAGUUUUGGUUGGAAGUUAUAAAUGUCCACUUGUGAAUGUAAAUUGUUGUGAACUUGGAAUAAGUGAGAUUUUGUGAAAAAAUUAUCUUUUAAUGAAAGUCAUAUGAGAUUCUAAUUGAGUGUGGUCCAGGAAAUUAUCAUAGCUGAUGUAUAUAUAAUUUAGGUAGUGUUUGAUUUCAUCUUAAUAGACGAUCUCUUAAUGCAUUUUAAGAGUAUAUAUUUUUGUAUUAAGAGAUCCUUUAAAUAAUUUACAUGCUUGUAUCAAUUGAUCUAAACCUUCAUAGACCGACAUUAUUACAAGCUACACAAAAAUUGACCG